AACACGUCUGCUAGGGGAAGGUUUCCACACCCUUAUAAAUAGUGGUUUGUUCUCCUCCCCGACCAACAUGGAAAAUCACAAAGACAAUCAAAAGCCAUGGUACAAACUAACAGAUCCAUCAACCUAACAUGAUAUGAAAGAAAAACAAUGGAAUGAGGGGUUGGAGCAUAGAUAUUUAGUAAGAAAUUUAG